GUCGUGUGACAUGAAACAUGGCCGCCUAAGCAGCAGAAGCUUUAAGGAGGGGGAGUGCAGUGGGUUCUCCACUGGGGGACCCUGUAACAACAGAGUAUAACAAGAGAAACAGAAGUUUAUUAACAUGUAUAUAUCCCAUAUACAUGGGAGAAGCUCAAGGAUGAGUAACUCAAAGAGAUGGCUAAAACUUGAACCUAAAUGCUGUCUUCAACUAAAACAAAGGAAGAAGGAUGUAAAGGAGCUGCUGCUCCGCUCUGCUGCUUUAUUUAUUUUACAGUCUGUGGGUCAUAUUUGUCUCCUACUUUCACGUGGAUGGACUCUGUGGGAGAUGCUUUUUCAUUCUCCUUGAAGAUUUGGGAUCGUUUUCAGGAAUUGAAGAAGAGAGGCUUAUUUAUACAGUGUGUUUAGGACAUGAACCAAGAGGCCAAGAUCAUCUCUCAGGAAGACCAGCAUAUUUUUCCUUCCCUCAGGUUAAGCAACUGGUCCAGGACUGCAUUUUCAAGAGAAACCCCAGAACUGACCACUACAGUUCCUUCUCCAGUGUCAGAGAGAUCUCCAGAUAAAGAUGCACAGAAGAGUGCCACCUUGAAGGUGUCUGAUUUUUUGAUAGGACUACCUGAAGCAGACGACGGCACAGUGUGCUAUAGACUGAGAAGGUGGUGUGAAGAUGUGCAAAGAAGAGGUGAAGAGGAGGAGGGGAUGUUAUUCAGUGUUAUUUCGGUUACCACUCCUCCCCAUUUAAAGGACUGUAACUAUGGCAACUGGGCCCAACUAAAGAGAAGGCAAUGAUGGCUAGUUUUCUCCCUGCAAUAAACUACAGUUAUCCUUUUUUA